rnacentral:sRNA from 1 species
CUAUUGACUUAAAUAUUUUUCUUCUUUUUUCUCACUGCUUUCUCUGUCUCUCUUUAUUUCUUUUCUCUCACAAUCUUCUUCAGUGUUCUCUUCUCUCUCUUUCUUCAGACUUGUGUCAGAUUAUGUGACUGUAAGAUAUCACAGAUGACACAGUCUUUUCUUCACUCUUCUCUUUAUUUUUCUUUUCAGAAUAUUUAUUUUUUCUUUUUUUCUUUUAUCUAUCUCAUCUAUCUUUUUUCUGUUGUUAGAAGUGCAGACAGUUCUCAGAUCAACUGAGAGAGUUAUCUCUUUUCAUUCACUAUAAAAUCUUUCAGACACAACAGUGAAGAUCCUCUC